GGGUGUGAUCAUACCAACAUUAAUGUAUCGGAUCCCAUCAGAACUCCGUAGUUAAGUGCGCUUUGGCUGGAGUAGUACUGGGAUGGGUGACCUUCUGAGAAGUCCUAGUGUUGCACCCU
rnacentral:rRNA from 1 species